rnacentral:rRNA from 1 species
GAUGAACGCUGGCGGCGUGCCUAAUACAUGCAAGUCGAGCGAACAGACGAGGAGCUUGCUCCUCUGACGUUAGCGGCGGACGGGUGAGUAACACGUGGAUAACCUACCUAUAAGACUGGGAUAACUUCGGGAAACCGGAGCUAAUACCGGAUAAUAUAUUGAACCGCAUGGUUCAAUAGUGAAAGACGGUUUUGCUGUCACUUAUAGAUGGAUCCGCGCCGCAUUAGCUAGUUGGUAAGGUAACGGCUUACCAAGGCAACGAUGCGUAGCCGACCUGAGAGGCUGAUAGGCCACAUUGGAACUGGGACACGGUCCAGACUCCUACGGGAGGCAGCAGUAGGGAAUCUUCCGCAAUGGGCGAAAGCUUGACGGAGCAACGCCGCGUGAGUGAUGAAGGUCUUCGGAUCGUAAAACUCUGUUAUUAGGGAAGAACAAAUGUGUAAGUAACUAUGCACGUCUUGACGGUACCUAAUCAGAAAGCCACGGCUAACUACGUG